AAACUUCACUGGUGUAAAGCUCAAAUACAACCCACUUAAGUUGGCUCAAAUAUACUCGAAAUAAAUCUCUAAACUUUAACAGAAAUGGAAACUAGCAGCUAAGAGUGCAAAUCAGUAAUUAGAAGCUGGAAUCAACUUCCAACUUCAAUCGAACAGUAAAUAUUUUGAUUUUUUUUAGUUUUUUUUGUUUGUUUUUGGUUUUUUUGAAGAAAACUGACAUCUAGAAUGAGAUUUUGAAAUUUUUCUGACUUAGAACUCAAAAGAUCAGAUUUGAUUCUAUAGGAGGC
rnacentral:lncRNA from 1 species